ACACCGAUGGUGAAGCGGUUAUCAUGCUUGCCUUCCAUAUUAAGAAUUGGAUUUUGAAGCAAGCGGCAGGGGUUCGACUCCCCUUCGGUGUA